rnacentral:misc_RNA from 1 species
GGAGGGAUCAUUACUGAGUGUAAAAACUCCAAACCCAUGUGAACUUACCACUGUUGCCUCGGCGCAGUUUCCUGUCUGGUGGCGAGAGCUGCUGGGCGGGUUGCGCCGGUGGACUACCAAACUCUUGUAAUUUUGGCAUUCUGAAUAAAAAACUUAAUAAGUUAAAACUUUCAACAACGGAUCUCUUGGUUCUGGCAUCGAUGAAGAACGCAGCGAAAUGCGAUAAGUAAUGUGAAUUGCAGAAUUCAGUGAAUCAUCGAAUCUUUGAACGCACAUUGCGCCCAUUAGUAUUCUAGUGGGCAUGCCUGUUCGAGCGUCAUUUCAACCCUUAAGCUUAGCUUAGUGUUGGGAGACUGCCUAACCGCAGCUCCUCAAAUUCAGUUGGCAGAGUGUAGGUGUGCUCUGAGCGUAGUAAUUCUUUAUCUCGCUUCUGAAAGCCUUAUACUGUCGCCACAAACCUAUUAUUUUUUAAUGGUUGACCUCGGAUCAGGUAGGAAUACCCGCUGAACUUAAGCAUAUCAAUAAGCGGAGGAAAAGAAACCAACAGGGAUUGCCCUAGUAACGGCGAGUGAAGCGGCAACAGCUCAAAUUUGAAAUCUGGCCUUCUGGUCCGAAUUGUAAUUUGUAGAGGAUGCUUUUGGUUAGGUACCUUCCGAGUUCCUUGGAACAGGACGCCUUAGAGGGUGAGAGCCCCGUACGGUUGGAUGCCGAGCCUCUGUAAAGCUCCUUCGACGAGUCGAGUAGUUUGGGAAUGCUGCUCUAAAUGGGAGGUAAAUUUCUUCUAAAGCUAAAUACCGGCCAGAGACCGAUAGCGCACAAGUAGAGUGAUCGAAAGAUGAAAAGCACUUUGAAAAGAGGGUUAAAUAGUACGUGAAAUUGUUGAAAGGGAAGGGUUUAUGACCAGACCUUUGCCUUGCGGAUCAUCCGGUGUUCUCACCGGUGCACUUCGCUUGGUUAAGGCCAGCAUCGGUUUCGGUAGGGGGAUAAAGGCCUUGGGAAUGUGACUCCUCCGGGAGUGUUAUAGCCCUUUGCGUAAUACCUUUACUGGGACCGAGGACCGCGCUUCGGCUAGGAUGCUGGCAUAAUGGUCAUCAACCACCCGUCUUGAAACACGGACCAAGGAGUCGAACAUUUGUGCGAGUGUUUGGGUGUUAAACCCUCACGCGUAAUGAAAGUGAACGGAGGUGAGAGCCCUUUCGGGUGCAUCAUCGACCGAUCCUGAUGUCUUCGGAUGGAUUUGAGUAAGAGCAUAACUGUUCGGACCCGAAAGAUGGUGAACUAUGCGUGGAUAGGGUGAAGCCAGAGGAAACUCUGGUGGAGGCUCGCAGCGGUUCUGACGUGCAAAUCGAUCGUCAAAUCUGCGCAUGGGGGCGAAAGACUAAUCGAACCAUCUAGUAGCUGGUUACCGC